rnacentral:rRNA from 1 species
UACGGAGGGUGCAAGCGUUAUCCGGAUUCACUGGGUUUAAAGGGUGCGUAGGUGGGCAGGUAAGUCAGUGGUGAAAUCUCCGGGCUUAACCCGGAAACUGCCAUUGUACUAUCUGUCUUGAAUACCGUGGAGGUGAGCGGAAUAUGUCAUGUAGCGGUGAAAUGCUUAGAUAUGACAUAGAACACCAAUUGCGAAGGCAGCUCACUACACGAAUAUUGACACUGAGGCACGAAAGCGUGGGGAUCAAACAGGA